CAAACGACUCUCGGCAACGGAUAUCUCGGCUCUCGCAUCGAUGAAGAACGUAGCGAAAUGCGAUACUUGGUGUGAAUUGCAGAAUCCCGCGAACCAUCGAGUCUUUGAACGCAAGUUGCGCCCGAAGCCGUCAGGCUGAGGGCACGUCUGCCUGGGCGUCACG
rnacentral:rRNA from 1 species